rnacentral:rRNA from 1 species
AUACGGAGGAUCCGAGCGUUAUCCGGAUUUAUUGGGUUUAAAGGGUGCGCAGGCGGCCAUUUAAGUCAGCGGUUAAAUCGUGGGGCUCAACCCCAUUCUGCCGUUGAUACUGGGUGGCUUGAUUGCGGUCGAGGUUGGCGGAAUUCGUUGUGGAGCGGUGAAAUGCAUAGAUAUGACGAAGAACACCGAUUGCGUAGGCAGCUGACCAGACCGCAAAUGACGCUCAUGCACGAAAGUGCGGGGAUCGAACAGGAUUAGAUACCCUGGUAGUCCGCACAGUAAACGAUGAAUACUUGUUUUCGGCGAUAUAAUGUCGGAGGCAAAGCGAAAGCGAUAAGUAUUCCACCUGGGGAGUACGCCGGCAACGGUGAAACUCAAAGGAAUUGACGGGG